rnacentral:rRNA from 1 species
AUUGAACGCUAGCGGGAUGCUUUACACAUGCAAGUCGAACGGCAGCGCGGACUUCGGUCUGGCGGCGAGUGGCGAACGGGUGAGUAAUGUAUCGGAACGUGCCCAGUAGCGGGGGAUAACUACGCGAAAGCGUAGCUAAUACCGCAUACGCCCUACGGGGGAAAGCAGGGGAUCGUAAGACCUUGCACUAUUGGAGCGGCCGAUAUCGGAUUAGCUAGUUGGUGAGGUAACGGCUCACCAAGGCGACGAUCCGUAGCUGGUUUGAGAGGACGACCAGCCACACUGGGACUGAGACACGGCCCAGACUCCUACGGGAGGCAGCAGUGGGGAAUUUUGGACAAUGGGGGCAACCCUGAUCCAGCAAUCCCGCGUGUGCGAUGAAGGCCUUCGGGUUGUAAAGCACUUUUGGCAGGAAAGAAACGUCGCGGGCUAAUACCCCGUGGAACUGACGGUACCUGCAGAAUAAGCACCGGCUAACUACGUG